ACAUGCAAGUCGAGGGGCAGCACGAUGUAGCAAUACGUUGGUGGCGACCGGCGCACGGGUGAGUAACGCGUAUGCAACCUACCUUUUACCGGAGGAUAACCCGGAGAAAUUCGGACUAAUACUCCAUAAAGAUAAACAGAGGCAUCUUUGGAUAUUUAAAGCUGCGGUGGUAAAAGAUGGGCAUGCGUAACAUUAGCUAGUUGGCAGGGUAACGGCCUACCAAGGCAAUGAUGUUUAGGGGACCUGAGAGGGUGAUCCCCCACACUGGUACUGAGACACGGACCAGACUCCUACGGGAGGCAGCAGUGAGGAAUAUUGGUCAAUGGGCGGAAGCCUGAACCAGCCAUCCCGCGUGAAGGAAGGAGGCCCUAUGGGUUGUAAACUUCUUUUCCAGGGGGAUAAAAUCCUGCACGAGUGCGGGACUGAAGUACCCUGGGAAUAAG
rnacentral:rRNA from 1 species